AGACGCACCAAAUUUCGGAAAAUCCUCUUUUGGAAAAAGAGCGGAGAAAGAUACGCAAAUUGUGGUUUGCAAUUUGCUUAUCUUUUUUGGACCUUUCUUUGUAGUGUAGACAUAGCCUAGAUGAUAAACACACAGCACACGUGUUACUAUGUGCACUAUUUAGGAAGUGCCUAACCCUCCCGAUCUAUUUCCAAUAGAAUAUGUCACAAUAUCGCCCUGCCUUUCAGUUCUCCUUGGCUAGCAGAGACACCCUGGAAAAUAGUCAAGUAAAACUGGCUUGUUUCAUUGGCAAGCAUAAUAAAGAAAAUUACCCGCCUUUACAACACUCAAGCCUUGCACAUGUGAUAGUGUUUUCAAGGUACCUUGCCAAUUUCAUUUUCAACAUCCUAUCCAGAUUCCUGCAGUUAUUACAUUUAAACCAACAAGUUUUUGAAAAACAACACUGUUGCCAUCAUUUGUAAUCUGUGAUGUGGUGAAGCUCUCUCAGGUCCAGACUGUUCCUUGUGAUUGGGUGUGAAAAAACAGAAUAGCUGUCCACAGGUUGUUGGAAGGCUGUGAUUGCCGCUAAGUGGACCCUCAGAGAAGAAAGUGCAAGUCCCAAGUGUUUGAGGUGGAGAAUAUAGUCCAAGUAGAUUGCAUGGGUAAUGUGUUAGGGUAUAACUUCCUGUCCGAACACCAAGAACAGAAUUGGCACCAUUUGUGCAGGUAAGUGGUAUGUAUGUUAGAUCUUCUGCUAUGUAGGAGAACAUGCCUGACAGCUGUAAGCAACUAAUUUCUCCUUGUUGGAACCAAUUAGGAGUCAUGCUGUUAAUGCGAGGCGAUCCAGCUGAGGAUGCAGCAAGUGCCCGUAGUCCUGCGUCAGUAGAUCGCGUCGUCUGGGAAGACGAUACGGAGGAUGGGACGACGAUACAGAGGAUGGGCCGACAUGCAAAACAGGUAAGGAAACCACGUUUGACAUGGACAGAAGGGUGCCACCAAUAUUACCGUGGCUCCGUCCGUAGCUAUCUUUUCUAGAACUCUCAGAAUCAGAGGAAUGGGAGGAAAAGUGUAUAGAAGGUGACUACUCCAGUUGAAGAGGAAAGCAUCUCCCUUGGAUACCAGUCCUAUUCCCGUUCUUGAACAAUAUUGAGGGCACUUCAUGUUGUGCUGAGUAGCAAAGAGGUCUAUGGAUGAGUAUCCCCAUCGUCUGAAUAGCACUCGUAGAAUGUCUAGGUGUAACUCCCAUUCGUGCUGUGUCGUAAAAUGCCUGCUGAGAGCAUCGGCUAUGAUAUUGUCCUUGCCAGGGAGGUACGCCGCCACAAUCACAACGUUGUGCUGAUUGCACCAGUUCCAUAAUCGAAUUGCUUCCAUGCAAAGGGAAUGGGACCAUGCCCCUCCUUGCCUGUUUAUAUAGUAUUCCAUUGUCAAAUUGUCAGUCAGGGCACACACCACAUGGCCACGAAUAAGAGGAAGGAAAUGCUUCCAGGAGCUGAAGACAGCUUUCAAUUUGAGAAGGUUUAUGUGCUGUAGGGACUCCUGUGCAGACCAUCAACCUUGGAUCUGCCUGUCAUGGAGAUGGGCACCCCAGCCUAGUAGGGAUGAGUCAGUCGUGAUUUGCAUGGUUGGUUGGGGUUGGUGGAAGGGUAUCCCAGCUGACAUAUUGUCGGGAAUGGUCCACCAAGUUAAGGAUUCUUUGACAAGAUGCGGUACCACCACCAACCUGUGUACGUCAUGUUUGUGUGGCACGUACACCAUGGCCAUCCAAUGUUGAAAGCAUCAGAGGUGUACCCUUGCAUAUGCCAAGACAUACGUUAUAGCUGCCAUCUGUCCCAUGAGCUGUAGACAGGUAAGUAUAGGAACCCUGGGACUGGUGGAGAGAACUUGAACAAAGGUCCUGAAUAGUGUGGAAUCUGGUUGUGGGUAGGUACGCACGUGCCGGGGGGGAAUAUAGAGAUGCGCCUUAGAACUCUAUGGAUUGUUGCAGUGCCAUAGAUGAUUUUGGAAUGCUGAUUGUAAGACCGAGUGCUCUGAAUACUGCCCUUGUGUUGGUAGCAUGGAGUGCUUUGUCGAAAGAGGGGGCUCUGAGAAGACAAUCGUCUAGAUAAGGAAAUACUAUAAUUCCCGACCGUCGUAGGAAUGCUGCUACUGUCUGAGAAAACCCUGGGAGAUGAAGAGAGGCCAAAUGGUAAGACAUUGUACUGGAAGUGCUCGGAUCCCACUAUGAAACGUAGAAAGCAUCUGUGUGCCGGGUGGAUACUCACAUGGAAACAGGCGUCCUGUAGAUUGAGGGAUGCAAACCAGUCCCCGUGCUCGAGAGCUAGAAUGAUAGUUGCUAAUGUCACCAUCCUGAAACGUUGUUUGCGGAGGUACCAAUUUAGUCGACGAAGGUCUAAAAUUGGCCUCCAGCCCCCUGACUUCUUCUGAGUUAGAAAACAGUGGAAAUAAAAUCCCUUUCCUUUGAAGUCCUCUAAUACCCUCUUCAUUGUGCUGAUAUCCAGCAGACGAGCUACCUCUUGUCUUGGAGGAGACUCGCGAGAGGGGUCCGUGAAGAGGGACGUGGAGGGAGGGAUAGGUAGGGGGAGCGAAGUGAAUGGAAUGGUGUAGCCUGACGUAUAUCAGCUGUAGGACCCAUCGGUCUGUGGUGAUGGCGUCCCAUCAGUGUUGAAACGGCCUCAGACGAUGGUGGAAGAGUUUCGUUGUACCACGUUGGCCAGCAGAUAGUGGAAUGGUUUGCAAUCCCUCAAUCGAUGCGUCAAACCUGUUGCCUGGUGUUUUGUUGAUUGGUUGGCCUGUUGGUUUGCGGCUGCCAUCUCUGUUGACGCUGCUUAAGACAACGUUGGUCAUAGUGCCUAAAUGGGUUGUUGUACAGGAGAAAGGUCUUCGCCUCUGGUAAGGUACAUAGCGCUUCCGAUGAGAAGUCGGUAUGUACAUGCUUAGCGUCCUAAGCAUUGUCUGAGAAUCCUUACCACAGUGAAGAACCUGGUCAGUUUCUUCAGCAAAUAGACUGUCUGUCAAAAGGUAGGUCUUCUACCUUUGAUUGAAGCUUCUUUGGCACGGCUGCCAUAUGCAGCCAUGCCAUGACGCCCUGCACAUAAUCACUGAUGUGGCUGUGGUUCGUGCCACCGCAUCUGCAGUAUCCAGGGUGAUGUGCAAGGCUUAUCGAGAGGCCGCAUAUCCCUCUUGCACCAGAGCCUUAAUGACCUGGCACUUACUGUCCGCUAAGUGUUCCAAGAGAGGCACUAGUUUUGAAUAACUAUCAAAGUUAUGAUUGGCCAAGAAUGCGGCAUAGUUGGCCAUUCUUAAGGUUAAAGUGGCCAAUGAAUAGACCUUCCUCCCUAAAAGGUCUAGGCAUUUACUGUUCUUAUUCCCAGUAUUGUUCCUGUACUGUGGUGCUUUGGCUCUCUGUUGUGCCGCAUCCACAACGAGGGAGUUGGGCUGGGGGUGGUUGAAGAGAAAUUCCAUCCCUUUUGUGGGUAUGAAGUACUUCUUUUCGGCCUUCUUGUUUGUUGCUGGAGUGGAGGCAGGUGUUUGCCAUUUAUCAUUGGUCACUUCCAGAAUUGCUUCAUCGAGUGGUAAAGCCACUUUUGACGUCUGUGAUGGCUAUAGGUUUCUCAGCAAACGGUGUUGCUUUUGCUGGACUUUUCACAGCUGCACCUCUUGGCUGUCAGUGACACUUUUGAACAGCUCCUGGAAUUGAUGCAGAUCAUCAGUAGGUGAAGAAUCUCCAGGGAAAACAGUGUCAUCGCGUGAGGAUGACAAUAUGUCUGCAGGUUUUGUGGAUCUUCUCUAUUCAACAGCUGUCCCUCUUCUGGCUCAGAUUGGUCUCACUGUAGACAGGGUGGGAGAGUUAGUUUUGUCGUGCAUAGUGUGAGUUCGGUGAUAGGCCGGUGAUCUCCGUAAGUUACACUCCAGGGAAUAUGAAUAAUGGCUGUCAUGAUGACUGUGCCUGGAUCGAAGGUCAUAAUACUCUGGAGAGUAUCUAUGGUAAUGCCUGCUUCUGUACAUGUCCCGGCGUCUGGAACCGGUGGAAAGUGUAGGGGACCUGGGUGAUCUGGAUCUGCCCUGUGAACACACCGGAGAGGGUGGUGAAUAUCGGUGCUGAUGGUAAUAUCUUGGGGAGAGGGAGGUACGCGGUGAGUAGUGAUGUGGGCUCGAUAGACAAUGGCUUGAGUGAAUUGAUGGAGCCGGAGAAGGUGAAGGCAGUCCUGGUGAGAAAGCGGCGUGCUGCAGGCUUGGGAUGGUGUAUGGCAACCUACGAGUUUUCCGGCUUGCUUUAGUUGGUGCCGGAGAGUGCUGGCUUGGUGACUACGCCGGUGUCGAUGUGGGCGUCAGUGCCAGCUGUGCAUUUGUGUGCAAUGACGAUGCUGAGGCUAGGCGGCCCCCCCGGUGCUGGCUGACUUGUUGGUGUCGACACGGUCGGUGCUGUAUGAGCCAGUGCUGUUAUGCGUGGCACCGCCGGCGUUGUGUGUGCCUCCGGUACCAGUACCGAUGCAGGUGCCAGUGCCAGUGCCACAGUAGGUGCUGGUCUAGUUUCCGGGACCGCUACGGGUGCCACCUGUAUUGUCGAUGCUGGACUUCGUGCCGACGCACUUCAAAUCUGCUUUUGUGUGUCAGGUUGGUGGAUUGUGGUUGCGCCCGAAGUGCCUGGCUUGUCUCCCAUGCUCACUUGUGUUGAUGACAGGGAGCAAGAGGGAGAAGGUCUUCUUUUAGAAUGUGUCGCCUUCAGAGAAGAAGGUCGGCGCCUGGCAACUGCCAGAGAUUCCGAAGGGCCAGGGGCAUCCAACUGCGGCUGACGUGCCUUAUUGAAAAGCAGCAUUUUCAGCCACAUAGCCCGGUCCUGCCUAGUUCAAGCUGAUUGAACUCAAGAGAGAGCUCACGCCGUCUGUACCCAGGGACGGUUAGGAGGAACUGGCGGGAGCCAGAUCGCAUGCUCAGAAAUGGCAUGAAAGGCACGAGAUGGCCAAAGUGCAUGUGUGGUCCGGCAAAUGACUGCUGAAAAGAUCUUCGAUCUGCGGUGCCAGAACGAGCCCGACACCUACAAUAGAGCACCCACGGGGACACUACUCGAAGAAGAACUGUUGGAAACAAAAGCAGGAGAGGAAAACCUACAGCUAAAGAAUUAGAGAGAUUAGAAUUAACCGGAAUUGGAGAGAAGAAUGGUAAACUGUCCAGGGAAGAGAGGUUUCUGCAUGAGCUAUUUUCUCCAAGAAAUAUGAAUGAUAAUAGUCCUCACAUCACACUUCACCUGUGGCUGAAUCGAUUGUGGGGAAUUAAAUAUGAAAAUUCUUCAUGCUGUGAGUCCACUGAAGUCAUUUGUAUAUUGUUUGUUAUUUAUUAUUCUGAUAAUAGUAUCUACAUCAAAGAAAACAUACGUUUUAAGGAGAAUGAGAGAGACUGGGGUGGCCAUUUGAGAACUUUACUGAGAAGCUCUCUUCCCAAGCAUAAAGGAAAGUCAUGGCAGAAUGUGAGCAAUGCUUGUAGGAGAAGUGUACAAGUGGUUGCUAAAGAAGUUAAAUCCCUGAAUUUCUAUGGAUUAUCCAGUCAAACUCAACCAACAAAACAGAUAAGAGCUGAACCGUCCAAGUUUAAGUACCCUUUCCCUAAAGAGUUCAAAAGACAUUUCUAGUGCUGCGAGAAAGGAGGUUUUUUUCCAAAUCUCAAACUAUUUCCUUUUCUGUAAAGUUACCAUAAAACACGAGAUGCUGAAGUUUACAG